GGUGAACGCUGGCGGCGUGCCUAAUACAUGCAAGUCGAGCGAACGGACGAGAAGCUUGCUUCUCUGAUGUUAGCGGCGGACGGGUGAGUAACACGUGGAUAACCUACCUAUAAGACUGGGAUAACUUCGGGAAACCGGAGCUAAUACCGGAUAAUAUUUUGAACCGCAUGGUUCAAAAGUGAAAGACGGUCUUGCUGUCACUUAUAGAUGGAUCCGCGCUGCAUUAGCUAGUUGGUAAGGUAACGGCUUACCAAGGCAACGAUGCAUAGCCGACCUGAGAGGGUGAUCGGCCACACUGGAACUGAGACACGGUCCAGACUCCUACGGGAGGCAGCAGUAGGGAAUCUUCCGCAAUGGGCGAAAGCCUGACGGAGCAACGCCGCGUGAGUGAUGAAGGCCUUCGGAUCGUAAAACUCUGUUAUUAGGGAAGAACAUAUGUGUAAGUAACUGUGCACAUCUUGACGGUACCUAAUCAGAAAGCCACGGCUAACUACGUG
rnacentral:rRNA from 1 species